rnacentral:rRNA from 1 species
GACGAACGCUGGCGGCGUGCUUAACACAUGCAAGUCGAGCGGUAAGGCCCUUUCGGGGUACACGAGCGGCGAACGGGUGAGUAACACGUGGGUGACCUGCCCUCAGCUCUGGGAUAAGCCUGGGAAACUGGGUCUAAUACUGGAUAUGACUCCACGGUGCAUGUCGUGGGGUGGAAAGCCUUGUGCGGCUGAGGAUGGGCCCGCGGCCUAUCAGCUUG